AAAAUGUGUAAAAAGUUUUUUUUUUUCUCUUAAAAAUUAUUUGCUAAUGCCUGAUGGCUUAAAGACAUGCAGAUGGUUAACUUACAAAUAAUGAUACAUGUUUUUAAAAACUACACUUAACUUCAUUACUUAAGUCGGGUAACUUUUUGAAAACGAGAUCCCAUUGAUUGUAUUCAGGGUAUAUACAUACAAAUCAGGCCUGAAACCUUGUUUGCUGACGUAACAUUUUGGUUCUGCGUACAAAAAGAAUUAAAGCAAAAUAGGGUGGCAGACUUCCCGAGGAAGCAACUUUCCGAGGUGGGUUUGGCUCCCCCUGUGUCCGCCACCAACACAAAAAUGUGUGUCACAAAAAGAGCCUCGAUAAACCCUGUUUUCAAACCUUAAGAGGGGACGUGGGGUAGGGGUUAAGAUCAGCAACAAAUAAAAAUUCAGCAGUCAAUAUGAGAAUAUUCUGUACCGUUUAACUGUUAAUGCUACUGUACAUGACCAUAACACACUGGCCGAUAUGCGAGAGGUCUCCUGGUGCAAUAACCCGAAAAGAUUCUACACCAGAACCACCUGGAAAAUUCAAUUCUUGACAUUUUAGUGACUGAGAUGUCAUGGGCAGUUCUGAAAAGGGGCCAUUAAGAUUGGCCUUCUUUACCACUAAAAUCAACCACGACAGUCGUAGUUUCUGUUCAAGACGCAGUCAAAUCCUUCUCUGCACCCGACGGGACUCUGUGGAUGACCCACGAGGGACAGGCUGCCCGUUCACACAGAACACUCCCCUGUUCAGGGGGAGAGAGGGCAGAAUUGGGGUUGCCAGUAAUAGUUAACUCCUCCUUAAGGAGGAGCAGAAAGGGACGCUGUGUCCCUGUGCUGCCGUACAUGGCUAUUCCUAUUGUCUAAUAACAGUGUGUCAGUAGCGUGUUGCACCAAAGCACCAUUAGUCUUCAGUGAAAUGUGACUCAGUCACUCAGCUACUGGCUCCAGUCCAAAUCAGUGGACGUGGAGGUGGGUCUUUUCAAUUGGGAAAAUUGCUGUGUAGCUAAACUAAGGGGCAUUUAUUAGAAUACAGACGUGAAGCUACGGCCCCAUUCACUGGACUUGCUAUUAUAUAGUCAGGCAUCUUAAAGAGACACAAACAAUUUAAAAAGCAGCCUAGUGGGACUCUUGAGCGAGCAAUUGUACUUGAGCUCUGUAGCAAUGCAACGUGUUUGUUAAUUGUCUUUAAACUCAUCCAUUGCUCCUCCCUGGGUAGUUAGUGACCUCAAGACAAGAUCAACGGAUAGUGUGCAGGUAGGGAGGCUACAUGUCAAAUAAAGUAACAGAGCAUUCUGUUGAUCCAAUGACAGGCCAUUGACAUGACUGAGGACUGAACCUUGGGUUCACAAGUGUUCUAUAGAUGGAGACAGAAAAGAACAAGCAACAUUCUAGAGCUGUUGGGAUUUUAACACAGAGUGUCUGGAAGCCCUGGAUGAACUAGCUACUAGCUGCCAUAUUGGAUACGUUGAUUAUUCUCGCUGUUGUGACAGGUGAGAAGGUUAACACCUGAAAAUGUAAAGUGUGCAGUCGUAGGAAGCCCUUUUUUAUUUCAUUUUUUUGUUGAUUUUGUUUGGUUAUCAUGGCUUGUCUCAUUUUAUGAGUAGAUCCGCAUGUACGUUCAAAGGGCUACAAAUAACAACCGUGUACAGUCACACUAAAAGAGCAGGUCCACGUCAUACUUCAGAACAGAGAGGGGCGGGCGAUGUCAACAUACAUACAGGAAGAUACAUCUCGCAGGAUGACUCUGCCACUGGGACCAGGUGAAGCAUAUGGGAGUGGGAGACAAAGAGCAUUGCUGGGGAGUUGAGGUGGGGUGCAAAAGACCAAAAAUCACCCAAUUGAGGACCCCAAGGAGAUUCGGGGAGGGGUCUAAUAACAUUACAAUGUGUCGCUCAAGGUUUGCAGUGCACGAAAAUAGCUCAUUCUGAUGCCCCUAAUACUGAGGGCAGGCCACCUCCUCUCAACUAAAACCCCUAUUGGACGAGACAUUUCUCUGUGUGACAUCACCAAGACCUGUUGUAUCCUGUUGGACGAUAAUGAGGUUCAGAGAGAGGGGGAGGGGUCAAGGGUAACCUGGGCCACAUACUUUACAGUAAAAAAAAACAACAAAGAUUGAAAAAAUAAAUUAGCUCUCAAACGCCAACUGUAACAGCAACAGGAUCUGAGUGGACAAGGUUAUAAUGUCAAGGUGUCUACACCUGAGCUCUAUAGGGGAAAGAGAGGAGGAAAUGGGCCCAAACCAGACAAGUUUGUUUCAAUGACACAUUCAAGUGUCAGCUGAGACUUGGACAUUGAAUUAGACAGUAUAUUAUAAUACAAGGCUCAGCUCCUAACCAGAAACAAGAGAAAAAGCCCAACUCUGGACAGGAAUUAUGGAAGGAGAAAUUUGGGGUAAAGCAAAAUGGGAGAUGAGUUCAGAGAAAAACAGACCAAUGGGGACUGAGUAACUGACCUCAGAUCAGUUCAGAUAUUCCUUAAAUAACUAAACACUAUUCUAUUAUUCCUAUACCGUCGUUAAAACCACGACAUUGGAUAUCAGUUUUUGAACUGUAUAAAUAUCUUAAGUAAGUGUUUCAGUUUCCAUUCAUAACAUCUAAGAGAGGUCACUCAGGCUUGUUUUGGUCUGAUAGGUGUCCGUUUCUGUGCCUGUUUAAAAGUCAGUUCCAGGCUCAGUACCACAAUAUCAAAGCCUUUCGUUAACAUCACUACACUACAGUGAGAGAGAUAGAGGGGGAAAAAAGCAAAGAAAAGCUAAGUUGCUGUGGAUUAAACGUUUUCAGGAGCUCCCUAAAGCUUGUACAUAUGCAGAUCAUGUUCAACAGUGCAAGCCACAGGACCAACUACACAGGUAGGCUAUGCCAAUUCGUACAUCAUCUGACAUCAUUUUCAUUAAUUUCAGAUCAUUUCAAACAACCGUGUAGGCUACUUUUAAACAACACUUAACUAAAGAUGAUCUCAAUGCAUUUUCCCAUUAUUCCAAAACUAUCUUGGCAGAAUGAUGCUGCACGGGUAGGACUUAGGUUCAGUUAAGCCUAUUGAAAACACUGAUCAUUAUGUGAUCUGUAUUCUGUUCCCUAGGGAUAGGCUACAGCAGACAUUGUACGUAGAGAAAAAAACAUGUGCAGAACGUGAUCCGCGCACACACAAGCUUUGGAAAACUCCAGGUAUUUAGGUCUGAAGAUAUCGACAAAGUCGUAUCAUAAUCCAC
ensembl:lncRNA